AUGGCAGCUGGGCCGAUCUCCGAGGGAACCAGGAUGCCACUGUCUACGUCAGGGGCCUGGACGAGAAGGUUAGCGAACCACUGCUGUGGGAGCUGUUUCUCCAGGCAGGGCCAGUAGUCAACACCCACAUGCCAAAGGAUAGAGUCACAGGUCAGCACCAAGGCUAUGGCUUUGUGGAAUUCUUGAGUGAGGAAGAUGCUGACUAUGCCAUUAAGAUCAUGAACAUGAUCAAACUCUAUGGGAAACCAAUACGGGUGAACAAAGCAUCAGCUCACAACAAGAACCUGGACGUGGGGGCCAACAUUUUCAUUGGCAAUCUAGACCCGGAGAUUGAUGAGAAGCUGCUUUAUGAUACUUUCAGCGCCUGUGGGGUCAUCUUACAAACCCCGAAGAUUAUGCGGGACCCUGACACAGGCAACUCCAAAGGUUAUGCCUUUAUUAAUUUUGCUUCCUUUGAUGCUUCGGAUGCAGCUAUUGAGGCCAUGAAUGGGCAGUAUCUCUGUAACCGCCCUAUCACUGUGUCCUAUGCCUUCAAGAAGGACUCCAAGGGUGAGCGCCAUGGCUCAGCAGCUGAACGACUUCUGGCAGCCCAGAACCCACUCUCCCAGGCCGACCACCCUCAUCAACUGUUUGCAGAUGCACCCCCUCCACCCUCAGCCCCCAAUCCUGUGGUAUCAUCAUUGGGGUCCGGGCUUCCUCCACCAGGCAUGCCUCCUCCUGGGUCCUUCCUACCCCCAGUGCCGCCUCCUGGAGCCCUUCCACCUGGGAUACCCCCAGCUAUGCCCCCACCACAUAUGCCUCCUGGGGCUGGAGGACAUGGCCCACCAUCAGCAGGAACCCCAGGGGCUGGACAUCCUGGACAUGGACACUCACAUCCUCACCCAUUCCCACCGGGUGGGAUGCCCCAUCCAGGGAUGUCUCAGAUGCAGUUGGCCCACCAUGGCCCUCAUGGCUUAGGACACCCCCAUGCUGGGCCCCCAGGCUCUAGGGGGCAGCCACCACCCCAACCACCACCCAGAAUGCCUCAUCCUGGACCUCCUCCGAUGGGCAUGCCCCCUCGAGGGCCUCCAUUUGGAUCUCCCAUGGGUCACCCAGGUCCUAUGCCUCCACAUGGGAUGCGUGGACCUCCUCCACUGAUGCCUCCUCAUGGAUACACUGGGCCUCCACGACCCCCACCCUAUGGCUACCAGCGGCGGCCCCUCCCUCCAUCCCAUCCCACCCCCUGGCCUCCAGUUCCCCCUCGUGGCCCACUUCGAGGCCCUCUUCCUCAGUAA